CUAUGCGCCUUCGCCAGCCCGCUCAGAAACUACAAAGGAAGUUGACGGGACCCCGCACAAGCGGUGGAUCAUGUUGUUUAAUUCGAUGAUACGCGAAGAACCUUACCAGGUCUUGACAUCCCCCGCGAUGCUUUAGAGAUAAAGCGGAGGUAUUCGGGGAGACAGGUGGUGCAUGGUUGUCGUCAGCUCGUGUCGUGAGAUGUUGGGUUAAGUCCCGCAACGAGCGCAACCCUUGUCCUUAGUUACCAGCACGUUAUGGUGGGCACUCUAAGGAGACUGCCGGUGACAAACCGGAGGAAGGUGGGGAUGACGUCAAGUCAUCAUGGCCCUUACGGCCUGGGCUACACACGUGCUACAAUGGUCGGUACAAAGGGUUGCCAAGCCGCGAGGUGGAGCUAAUCCCAUAAAACCGAUCGUAGUCCGGAUCGCAGUCUGCAACUCGACUGCGUGAAGUCGGAAUCGCUAGUAAUCGUGAAUCAGAAUGUCACGGUGAAUACGUUCCCGGGCCUU
rnacentral:rRNA from 1 species